ensembl:lncRNA
GCAGACGUUUUGUAACCAUGCCUCUCCAUCCCGCCGUCUGCUGCAGCCUCGGAGCCCCAAGCUAGCAAGACCAGAGGGCGAAGCGCUGGGGUGCGCCUGGGUGGGCUUCCUGGGAGCGCAGGAUGGUACCCAAGCGCCCUGCCCUACUCUGCGAUACGCACGGUCCCAUACGCUGGGCGGUGGGCUUCAAGCACUGGGUUAGCCACAAAAGACAAGACGUACGCAGUCCAGCUGAGGAGGCUGGGCUGGGGCGGUGGUGGGCUGGGGAGGGGAGCGUCGCUUCUCCGCGCGCCCAGCAGGGCGGUGCGUUCUAGUCGUUCUAGUCGCCGGGUUGGGCUGUUGGGGGUGGGGAGGGGGCGGGGAAGACCGGGGCUUGUAGCUGCCCGGAUCCAGGCAAAAAUAGCAGGGAGGGUGAGGCGCUCUGCUAACACUAUCAAUUAUGCAUCGUGUUGAACGUGGCUUCGGGGAGGAGGCGGCUAGCAGCGAGGGUGCGGGAAGGAAGGGUCCGCGCGAGCCGGGCGGCGCGCAGCUCCAGCCAGUCCCGGGCGAGGUCUGUCGGCACCACCGCCUGCCUUUGCAGAAAGAGUUUUAAGGCAAAGACACGCCUCCCCCACUUCAGGCGUGCGCCUUUCCUUCCCCCAAUUCCUCAAAGAUGGUUUGUCUCACGUGUUGCGGGGCGUAAAAGAGGCUCGCAUUCAAUUAGCAGCAAAGCUAACGGGCCCUGGCGGGACCCGGGCGUGAGGGUGAGUGCGCAUGAAUGUGUGUGCGUGCAGGAGGAGGAGAAUGGUGAGUGUCCCGGGUGUGAACACUCACCGGCGAGUGAAAAUGUGCGUGAACGAAGCGAGAGCUCAACACAUUGGCGCGAUUAUUACAUGAUGAUGGGUGAUUCUAAUAUUGAAGAGCAACUGUGUGGACGGUGUGAGGUCGCAGCAACAGAUGUGGGAAGCGCCCUUGGGCUGUCGUCCUGGCUCCGCGACAUCCAGUCUGGAGAGGGGGUUGCAACCCGAGGGCAGCGCACGGAGAGUUGGAGAGCAGCCGCUUGGAGAAGGAAGGUUGACUGAGCAGCCCUGAUGGUUUUCCCCUCCCUGGAGUUGCAGCCCCCGGGAAAGGCAGCCCGAGAGGGGCCUGGCGAGUCUGCUUCCCCGUUCCCGUCCCAGUCUUCUUGCCACCUGCAGCAAGUUCACACCUUUUGCUGAGCCGCUGGGAUUUCAGUCUCAGAGGGCUGUCUACAGACGCAAGUGCCCGCCUGUGUCCCGGUAUGUGGGUCCGCGCAUGUGAGGAUUUGUGCCCUGAUGUCUGUCAGUUCCAACAAUGAACAGGAAAGUGCCUUGCCCGGUGCUGGAGAACGCUGUACAAAUGCUGUGUUCAGUUCAGAGAACAAUGAGGUCUCCAGAGGAUAUGGUGCCUGUGUCUGGGUGUCUUUGUGUUUGUCUGUCUAUUAAAUGUGUUGGGACCCCCUAAACAGAAGUCCCGGUUUGAUGGCAGGCGCCUGGGCUUGUGUUGUAUUGUCCGGUGUCUGUAUGGGCGUGUGUGGGCGAUUUCUGUGCAGUGCGACAAAGAGUUCAGGGGAGGACAGACAGUCAUGGACAAAAAUAGCCUAUGUAUCCCUUUCACUGAGUUAAACCUAGGGUUAGAAACAGAGUCAGGGAUCAAUGCAAAGCUCAGGGCAGACCGGGUAUAGGCCCAGCCUGUGGAGGGUCUAGCUGUGGAGGCUGACGGGAUAGGUAGAGAGAAAAGAGCGAGGUAGGAGGCUGCUAGAAAAGGAAGUCCUGAGAGGGAGCACGCAUUGAAUCCCGAGACUUAUUGAGCUCCAACUCGUGCCUAAGAGAGACUCUGGGCCCAGAGCAGAAAGUUACCAGAGCCCUGCGAUCUGCCCUAGACAGGUUUACAGGAGGCAGAGCUUGGCAGGGGAGGGAAGCUGGAGCUCAGUGAGUCACAUUC